GUUUUUUCUUAUUAAUUAUUGCGCUGAAUAAAGGGUUUGGCGCAAAACCCCCGACCUGAAUCGAAGUCGAGAGGGGACCCCAUCGACUCAUUUCGCCGUGUUGAGAUGGCGCUAACCGAGCUCGACGACGGCACUGUGCGGAGCAUGGCAAUCGGAGCUGUUUUCUCUGACUUCGUUGGGAAGAUAAAUUCUCUUGAUUUUCAUCGCAAGGAUGAUUUGCUGGUGACGGCGAGUGAGGAUGAUUCCGUGCGGCUGUAUGAUAUUGCGAAUGCCAGGUUACUCAAAACCACAUUUCAUAAAAAGCAUGGUGCUGAUCGUAUAUGCUUUACCCAUCACCCAAGUUCCGUUAUAUGCUCUUCAAGAUACAAUUUAGAUACUACUGGAGAGUCACUGCGAUACCUAUCAAUGUAUGAUAACCGAUGUCUUCGCUACUUCAAAGGACAUAAAGAGAGGGUUGUUUCGCUCUGCAUGUCUCCAAUCAAUGACAGCUUCAUGUCAGGUUCUCUCGACCACAGUGUCAGGAUAUGGGAUCUUCGAGUAAAUGCCUGCCAGGGAAUACUUCGCUUACGUGGCAGACCUACCGUUGCGUAUGACCAGCAAGGCCUUGUGUUUGCUGUGGCAAUGGAAGGAGGUGCUAUUAAGUUGUUCGAUUCACGUUCCUACGACAAGGGACCCUUCGAUACCUUCUUGGUUGGUGGAGAUAUGGCUGAAGUCUUUGACAUCAAAUUUAGUAAUGAUGGCAAAUCUAUGCUCUUGACAACUACAAAUAACAAUAUAUAUGUUCUUGAUGCAUAUGGAGGAGAGAAGCAAUGUGGGUUCAGCUUGGAACCAUCUCCCAACACAACCAUAGAGGCUACCUUUACCCCAGAUGGGCAGUACGUUGUAUCAGGCUCAGGAGAUGGAACCUUGCAUGCCUGGAACAUUAACAAGCGUACUGAGGUUGCAAGCUGGAACAGUCACAUAGGCGUUGCCUCGUGCUUGAAAUGGGCUCCUCGCAGGGUCAUGUUCGUUGCCGCAUCCACUGUACUCACAUUCUGGAUCCCCAACACUUCGAAGUCUACAGGCGAGUCGGGUAUGGAAUUCGAAGCUCGUUCUCAAGGAGAACAUCUAUCUCAAUGAAAGCCAUAAUUACACGCAUUCUACUAUGGAUUAUCAAACCACCAAACUAACUCCUACAAAUCUUAGUUUACACAGUUUAGUGGGAGAAGCAAGGCAUUUGGAUUUGGCGGGGAGUUUUCUGCACAAUGCUCUUUCCAUAUCCUUUACCCUUUUGGCGGCAUCAUGCAAUGUAAUGAAUCAAAAACCAAUCUUAUUCAAAUCUAUUUAUUUAUGUAACGAGACGGGAUUAAUAUCUUCUUUAGAGUUGAAGAACAUCGCAUUCAUGAGCAUCGUCUUAUACGAUAAGUUCAUU